rnacentral:rRNA from 1 species
ACGAACGCUGGCGGCGUGCUUAACACAUGCAAGUCGAACGGAAAGGCCCUGCUUUUGUGGGGUGCUCGAGUGGCGAACGGGUGAGUAACACGUGAGUAACCUGCCCUUGACUUUGGGAUAACUUCAGGAAACUGGGGCUAAUACCGGAUAGGAGCUCCUGCUGCAUGGUGGGGGUUGGAAAGUUUCGGCGGUUGGGGAUGGACUCGCGGCUUAUCAGCUUGUUGGUGGGGUAGUGGCUUACCAAGGCUUUGACGGGUAGCCGGCCUGAGAGGGUGACCGGCCACAUUGGGACUGGGAUACGGCCCAGACUCCUACGGGAGGCAGCAGGGGGGAAUAUUGCACAAUGGGCGGAAGCCUAAUGCAGAAACGCCGCGUGCGGGAUGACGGCCUUCGGGUUGUAAACCGCUUUCGCCUGUGACGAAGCGUGGGUGACGGUAAUGGGUAAAGAAGCCCGGCUAACUACGUG